UACAGAGACUGCAAGCGUUAUUCGGAUUCACUGGGCGUAAAGGGUGCGCAGGCGGCCAUGUGUGUGAGGCGUGAAAGCCCGGGGCUUAACCCCGGAAUUGCACCCCAAACUACAUGGCUAGAGCAUUGGAGAGGGUAGCGGAAUUCACGGUGUAGCAGUGAAAUGCGUAGAUAUCGUGAGGAACACCAGAGGCGAAGGCGGCUACCUGGACAAUUGCUGACGCUCAGGCACGAAAGCGUGGGGAGCAAAAGGG
rnacentral:rRNA from 1 species